AUACUACCUGGCAGGGGAGAUACCAUGAUCACGAAGGUGGUUUUCCCAGGGUGAGGCUCAUCCAUUGCACUCUGGAUGUGCUGACCCCUGCGAUUUCCCCAAAUGCGGGAAACUGGACUGCAUAAUUUGUGGUGGUGGGGGACUGCGUUCACGCUUUCCCCUG
rnacentral:snRNA from 1 species